rnacentral:ncRNA from 1 species
UUGAAAAUAUGACAGUAUUAAGAGGGUAGUAACUUGGUGGUGUAAUGAAGGUGAAAGACCAAUAGUACUUGCUACCGCCGGCCAAGAUGAGAUCCUGAGGCCUCUACAGUCCACCAAGGGUGCACCAUUGCCCCUUUUGCCUGCUGUGCCUGCUGCUCCAGUGAGGGGGGAGCAUGAGUGCAGGAGCUGAAAGAUGGUGAACUAUGCCUGGGUAGGGCAGAGACAAAGCAAACUCUGGUGGAGGUCUGUAGCAGUCUUGAUGUAAAAAUUGAUCAUCUGAUCUGUAUAUAGGGGUGAAAGAUUAGUUGAACCAACUAGUACCUGG